CUAUUGGAUAGGUACUGUCAGGCGACGGGCCAGCGGAUUAAUCACAAUAAGUUAUCUGUCUAUUUCAGCAAGGGGGUGCCUGAUAGUAUCCGGCUAGAAAUUAAGACGGUGUUGCAGGUAACCAACGAAACCCUAAAUGAGAAAUAUUUAGGAAUGCCAUCUGACAUUGGAAGCAAAAAUGGUGCCUUUAAAUAUCUAAAAGACCGCCGAUGGAGUAAAGUAUGGGGAUGGAUUGAAAAGACAAUGUCAUCAGCGGGUAAGGAGGUGUUGGUUAAAGCUGUUGCUCAAGCAGUUCCGGUGUUCUCCAUGUCCUGUUUUAAAUUGCCACGUGGCUUGUGA
rnacentral:rRNA from 1 species